GUUAGACGUUGGAAUUGAGUCCCCUUGGGGAGAGAGCCUUAGCUAGGGUUAGGGUUCGUUCCAGGGACGUCGCCAGGGCCGAAGCAACUCCGGUCCCGUGAUCUCCCUUGAGGGCUGAAGUGAGGGCCCAUGCGAUAAGGCGGCUCAAGUGCAGGUUUAGGGUUCGAGGCAGGCUUAGGUUUCGGUGGAAGGUCCCGGUUAGGGGUACGGUUAGGGUUAGGGUUAGGUCCCAGGAGGCUCCAGGCGCCGAACCCACAGCAGGGCAGUGGUCUCCCCGAAGGGCUGAGUUGAGGGCACAAGGGACGGUGACGGUCAGGAUCAGUCUUUGGCUGCCAAGGCCACACAGGUAUGGGUCCCUGGUGUAGGAGGCCUCCUGAAUAUUUCAGGCAGAUGCCACCCGGCCUGGGAAACGACAUGGUGAGCUUCCAGGUUCCAUGCCGAGUGAGUCUGCACCGCUUGUGUACCCCAGGCACGUAGUGUUGUCAGACGUUGGUAUUGGGUCCCCAGGUGAGAGAUCUUUAACUAGGGUUAGGGUUUGGUCCAGGGACAUCGCCAGGGCCAAAGUGACUACGCUCUCGUUAUGUCUCUCGAGGGCUGAAGUGAGGGCCCAUGCGACGGGGCAUCUCUAUUUUAGGGUUCGGUUACGAGGCUGGCUUAGUUUUCGGUGGAGCGAACUGGUUCGAGGUAAGAUUAGGGUUGGGCUUAGUUUUCAGGAGGCUCCAGGCGCCGAACCCAUAGCAGGCCAGUAGUCUCCCCAAAGGGCUGAGUUGGGGGUACAAGGGAGAGUGCCGGUCAGGAUAAGUCUUUGGCUGCCAAGGCCACACAUGUCGAUGGGCCCCUUGUCGGUGAGGUCUCAGGAAUCCUCUCGGGCAGCUGUAGCCGGGCCUGGGAAAUGACAUGGACAGCUUCCAGGUUCCAUGCCAAUUGAGCCUCCACCGUUUCUGGACCCCAGGCAAGUGGUUUGUCAGAUUUUGGUAUUGGGUCCCCAUGGGGAGAGUGCCUUAGCUAGGGUUAAGUUUCUUUCCAGGACGUCACCAGGGUCUAAACGACUCCUGUCUCGUAUUCUCCCUCGAGGCCUGAAGUGAGGGCCCAUGCAACGGGGCGGCUCAAGUGUAGGGUUAUGGUUCGAGGCUGGCUUAGGUUUCGUGGGGAGUGUCCUGGUUUUGGGUAGGGUUAGGUUUAGGUCCCAGGAGACUCCAGGCGCUGAACCCACAGUAGGACAGUGGUCUCCCCGAAGGGCUGAGUUGUGGGCACAAGGGAGCGUGCCGGUCAGUAUCAGUCUUUGGUUGCCAAGGUGAGACACGUCCAUGGGCCCCUGGUCGUGGAUGCCACAGGAAUCCUCUGUGGCCCGUGCAGCCGGACCUGGGAAACGACAGAGUGAGCUUCCAAGUUCCAUGCCGAAUGAGCCUGAACCGCUUGUGGAUCACAGGCGUGUGGUGUUGUCAGACUUUGGUUUUGGGCCCCUAAGGGGAGAGAGCCUUAGCUAGUGUUUGGAUUCGGUCCAGGGACGCCGCCAGGGCCGAAGCGACUCUGGUCUCGUGAUCUCCCUCGAGGGCUGAAGUGAGGGCCCAUUACAUGGGGCUGCUCAAGUGUAGGGUAGGGUUCUAGGUCCCCUUUAUUUUCGUUGGAGGGUCCCCUUUUGGAGUGGGGUUAGGGUUAGCGUUAGGUCCCUGGUGUCUCCAGGUGCCAAACCCUCAGAAGCCAGUUGUCUCCACGGAGGUCUGAGUUUAGGGCAGAAGGUUGGGUGCCGGUCAGGAUCACUCUUUGGCUUCCAAGGCCACAACCUCUCUGUGCGAUGUUCUGGGAGGCCUCAGGAAUCCUCUCGGGCUGUUGUAGCCGGGUUGGGAAAUGACAUGUUGUGGUUCCAGGUUCCAUGCCGAGUUAGCCUGCACCGCUUCUGGACCCCUGUUGCAUGGUGUUGUCAGACUGUAGUAUUGGGUCCCCAUGGUGAGAGAGCGUUAGGUAGGUUUAGGUUUCGUUCCAGGGACGUCACCAGGACCGAUGCGACCUGAGACUCAUGAUCUCCCUCGAGGUCUGAAGUGAGGGCCUAUGUGACGGUGGGUCUCAAGUAUAGGGUCAGGGUUCGAGGUCGGCUUAGACUUCGGUGGAGCUUUCCGUUUAGGGGUUGCAUUAGGCUUAGGGUUAGGUCCCAGGAUUCUCCAGGCUUUGAACCCACAGUUGUGCAGUGGUCUCCCCGAAGGUCUGAGUAGAGGGUACAGGGAGGGUGCCAAUCAAGACCAGUCUUUGGCUUCCAAUUUCACACAAAUAUAUGGCCCCCUGUGGGUUAAGCCUCAGGAAUCCUCUCGGGCAGCUGCAGCCGGGCCUGGGAAAUGAUAUGGUGAGGUUCCACGGUCCAUUCCGAGUGACCCUUUACUGCUUCUGGACCCCAGCCACGUGAUGUUGUCAGAGGUUUAUGGUUCGGUCCAGGAAAGUCGCCAGGGUCGAAGCAACAUCAGUGUUUUGAAUUCCAUGGAAGGCUGAAAUGAGGGCACAUGUUCCGACAUGGAUCUGUUUAAAGUUAGUGUGAUAUAUAGGGUUAGGUGUAGGGUGAGUAUUCUGGUUAGGGUUACCAUUAGGUUUAGGGUUAGCUCCCUGGAGGCUCCGGGUUGUUACCCCAGAGCAGAGCAGGUGUAUCCCCAAAGGGCUGAGUGGAGUCACAAGGGUGUGUGCCGGUCAAGAUUAUUCUAUGGGUUCCAAGGCUAGACAUAUGUAUGUGCCACCCUUACUGUAGGCUUCAGGAAUCCUCUCGUGCAGCUGCCGUCUCGCUUUGGAAAUGACAUGGUGAAAUUCCACGUUCCAUGUCGAGUAUAUCUUCAUCAAUUCUGGAACCCAUGUGCAUGCUGUUAUUAGAAAAUGUACAAAUGUAUAUUUUCUGAUGGAAUGAUAUCUCCCUUGAUGUCUUUGCAGUGUUAAAGUGCCCUUCUAUGUAUGUAUGAGUAUCAAUUCUUUACUUUAGGUUUUCAGUGUUUUGUGUAUUGGAUUCUCUCAGGUUGAGCACAUGUAUGUUUACAAUUGUUGUAUCUUUCGUUGGAUUAUACUUUUUAUCAUUAUAAUUUCCUUCUUUCCCUCUUCU